UGGAGGUCCGAACCGACUAGUGUUGCAAAACUAGCGGAUGAGCUGUGGAUAGGGGUGAAAGGCUAAACAAACUUGGAAAUAGCUGGUUCUCUCCGAAAACUAUUUAGGUAGUGCCUCAAGUAUUACCGUCGGGGGUAGAGCACUGUUUAGGCUAGGGGGUCAUGGCGACUUACCAAACCUAUGCAAACUCCGAAUACCGAUGAGUACAGCUUGGGAGACAGAGCACCGGGUGCUAACGUCCGGACUCAAGAGGGAAACAACCCAGACCGCCAGCUAAGGUCCCUAAAAUUGGCUAAGUGGGAAACGAAGUGGGAAGGCUAAAACAGUCAGGAUGUUGGCUUAGAAGCAGCCAUCAUUUAAAGAAAGCGUAAUAGCUCACUGAUCGAGUCGUCCUGCGCGGAAGAUGUAACGGGGCUCAAGCCAGUUACCGAAGCUGCGGAUGCACCGCAAGGUGCGUGGUAGGAGAGCGUUCUGUAAGCCUGUGAAGGUGUCUUGAGAAGGAUGCUGGAGGUAUCAGAAGUGCGAAUGCUGACAUGAGUAGCGUUAAAGGGGGUGAAAAGCCCCCUCGCCGUAAGCGCAAGGUUUCCUACGCAACGUUCAUCGGCGUAGGGUGAGUCGGCCCCUAAGGCGAGGCAGAGAUGCGUAGCUGAUGGGAAACAGGUGAAUAUUCCUGUACCGAUUGCAAGUGCGAUGUGGGGACGGAGAAGGUUAGCUCAGCCGGGUGUUGGAUGUCCCGGUUCAAGCGUGUAGUCAUGCCCUCUAGGCAAAUCCGGAGGGCUAAGAUGAGGCGUGAUAACGAGUCUGCUUGCAGACGAAGUGAGUGAUACCCUGCUUCCAAGAAAAGCCACUAAGCUCCAGCUUGCAACGACCGUACCGCAAACCGACACUGGUGCGCGUGAUGAGUAUUCUCAGGCGCUUGAGAGAACUCUGGAGAAGGAACUCGGCAAAUUGACACCGUAACUUCGGAAGAAGGUGUGCCUUUAGUCAGUGAAGCCCCUCGCGGGUGGAGCUAAACGAGGCCGCAGAGAAUCGGUGGCUGCGACUGUUUAAUAAAAACACAGCACUCUGCAAAGACGAAAGUCGACGUAUAGGGUGUGACGCCUGCCCGGUGCUGGAAGAUUAAUUGAUGGGGUGCAAGCUCUUGAUCGAAGUCCCAGUAAACGGCGGCCGUAACUAUAACGGUCCUAAGGUAGCGAAAUUCCUUGUCGGGUAAGUUCCGACCUGCACGAAUGGCGUAACGAUGGCCACACUGUCUCCUCCAGAGACUCAGCGAAGUUGAAAUGUUUGUGAUGAUGCAAUCUCCCCGCGGAAAGACGGAAAGACCCCAUGAACCUUUACUGUAGCUUUACAUUGGACUUUGAACAGAUCUGUGUAGGAUAGGUGGGAGGCUUUGAAGCCAGGACGCUAGUUCUGGUGGAGCCGACGUUGAAAUACCACCCUGGUGUGUUUGAGGUUCUAACCUUGGUCCCUGAUCGGGAUUGGGGACAGUGUAUGGUGGGCAGUUUGACUGGGGCGGUCUCCUCCCAAAGUGUAACGGAGGAGUUCGAAGGUACGCUAGCCACGGUCGGAAAUCGUGGUGAUAGUGCAUUGGCAUAAGCGUGCUUGACUGCGAGACUGACAAGUCGAGCAGGUACGAAAGUAGGACAAAGUGAUCCGGUGGUUCUGUAUGGAAGGGCCAUCGCUCAACGGAUAAAAGGUACUCUGGGGAUAACAGGCUGAUACCGCCCAAGAGUUCAUAUCGACGGCGGUGUUUGGCACCUCGAUGUCGGCUCAU
rnacentral:rRNA from 1 species